rnacentral:rRNA from 1 species
UACGUAGGGGGCGAGCGUUAUCCGGAUUUAUUGGGCGUAAAGCGUGUGUAGGCGGUUUAUUAAGUUUAAGAUCAAAGCCCGAGGCUCAACCUCGGUUCGUCUUAAAAACUGGUAAACUUGAGUGUAGUAGAGGCAAGUGGAAUUUCUAGUGUAGCGGUUAAAUGCGUAGAUAUUAGAAGGAACACCAGUGGCGAAGGCGACUUGCUGGGCUAUAACUGACGCUGAGACACGAAAGCGUGGGUAGCAAAUAGG